GACGAACGCUGGCGGCGUGCUUAACACAUGCAAGUCGAACGGAAAGGCCCUGCUUUUGUGGGGUGCUCGAGUGGCGAACGGGUGAGUAACACGUGAGUAACCUGCCCUUGACUUUGGGAUAACUUCAGGAAACUGGGGCUAAUACCGGAUAGGAGCUCCUGCUGCAUGGUGGGGGUUGGAAAGUUUCGGCGGUUGGGGAUGGACUCGCGGCUUAUCAGCUUGUUGGUGGGGUAGUGGCUUACCAAGGCUUUGACGGGUAGCCGUCCUGAGAGGGUGACCGGCCACAUUGGGACAGAGAUACGGCCCAGACUCCUACGGGAGGCAGCAGUGGGGAAUAUUGCACAAUGGGCGGAAGCCUGAUGCAGCAACGCCGCGUGCGGGAUGACGGCCUUCGGGGUGUAAACCGCUUUCGCCUGUGACGAAGCGUGAGUGACGGUAAUGGGUAAAGAAGCACCGGCUAACUACGUG
rnacentral:rRNA from 1 species